AGGAGGAUUAAGGCCUGUCUACUCUUAGAAAAUGGCCAAGACAGAUUUCUGCUGAAUCAACAUUACAUACAUCACACAUGUAAAUGAUAUCCUUUGAUUUGUAACCAGGCCUGUCAUUGCAAUAGGCCUGGAGGCCUUGAGAAGGAUUGCACCAUUCCCCACUGGUGGAGAGCCAGGGUGGUCCAUUUGCCACCACUGCAUCCCAGCUUCUCAGCAUUGGACCAGAGUGCUCAUUCUGCAUGUUGCAUCUGUUCACCUUGCAUGGAAAAGUCCAGAAGAGUAGGUGAAGUCCUUGAGAGCUAAGGCACCUGAGCCUAGACGCGAUGGGAACAUGAGCACAAAGUUUUCUUUUACAUUGGAAAAAAUAAAGACCAAGUUCUGAGAAUAAAGGUUGAUUCAUCUUUCUCUAAAAAAUCACAUGCUCCUAAUACUCACCGGACCCAGUUGAAAAGUUUGGGAAAUGCUUUCUUUCCACUCCAAACUUUCACAAUGCAAAGUCCUCUGUGAACUUGCCUCUUGUCUCCAGCAUCAUCUGAGUCAGAUUUGUUCUUCUCCAAAGGAAUGGUCAGUUAAGGCAUCAAUGAAACUUCUGUGACGUGACACCCCUGUCCUUCAUUGGUCCCCAUCAGACAGGUAAGGGUUUCAUAUCUGCUCUUCUGACACUUGUACAAGCUUACCAUUAUUUUAAAAUCUUGCCAUUCUUUUACAUUAGUCUGAGCAAUUCCAGGACUAAGAUUCUAACCAGUUUAUUCUUGUAUGAUCCUGCUUAAAGUACAUAGAAGGUGUGCAAGAAAUAAAUACAUUCAUUGGAG
rnacentral:lncRNA from 1 species